GUCUCUCGUCCCUUCGGCGGCCUUCCCCUCUAGGAGCGACUUCCCUGGGGCCACCGUCCCGGGCCUGCGCGGCGCCUUGCCGCACUCCCAGCGCCGGAAGCCCCUGUCGAAGGCCUGGGGCCACCUUGAAAGCCGGAAUUUCAGAGCGGAGGCGAGCCACAGAGACCACCCAGCCCCUUCCUUGUGCCGAGGGGAACACAGGCCAGAACAGGGAGGGGACCUGCCAAAAGGCACGUAAGCAUUUGGCCCUAAGCCAGAGCUGGAGCUCAGGCCCCCAGAGUUCCGUCCAGGGCACUCCAGGACUCUUCUUAACAAAGCUAUAGAAAUUCCGAGCUGAAAAGACCCAUAAAGACUCUACCGCGAACAUUUUUUGCUCCAGACAUUGUAAAGGAUUCCCAGACAUCGUAAACGCUUUGCUCCAGA
rnacentral:lncRNA from 1 species